rnacentral:rRNA from 1 species
GACGAACGCUGGCGGCGUGCCUAAUACAUGCAAGUAGAACGCUGAAGAGAGGGACUUGCUCUUCUUGGAUGAGUUGCGAACGGGUGAGUAACGCGUAGGUAACCUGCCUUGUAGCGGGGGAUAACUAUUGGAAACGAUAGCUAAUACCGCAUAACAAUGGAUGACACAUGUCAUUUAUUUGAAAGGGGCAAUUGCUCCACUACAAGAUGGACCUGCGUUGUAUUAGCUAGUAGGUGAGGUAAUGGCUCACCUAGGCGACGAUACAUAGCCGACCUGAGAGGGUGAUCGGCCACACUGGGACUGAGACACGGCCCAGACUCCUACGGGAGGCAGCAGUAGGGAAUCUUCGGCAAUGGGGGCAACCCUGACCGAGCAACGCCGCGUGAGUGAAGAAGGUUUUCGGAUCGUAAAGCUCUGUUGUAAGUCAAGAACGGGUGUGAGAGUGGAAAGUUCACACUGUGACGGUAGCUUACCAGAAAGGGACGGCUAACUACGUG